rnacentral:rRNA from 1 species
CCGACGGUGAGGGGCGAAAGCUGGGGGAGCAAACCGGAUUAGAUACCCGGGUAGUCCCAGCUGUAAACGAUGCGCGUUAGGUGUAUCAGUGACCACGAGUCACUGAGGUGCCGAAGAGAAAUCGUGAAACGUGCCGCCUGGGAAGUACGGUCGCAAGGCUGAAACUUAAAGGAAUUGGCGGGGGAGCACCACAACAGGUGGAGCCUGCGGUUUAAUCGGACUCAACGCCGGAAAUCUCACCAGAUAAGACAGCUGAAUGAUAGUCGGGCUGAAGACUCUACUUGACUAGCUGAGAGGAGGUGCAUGGCCGUCGUCAGUUCGUACUGUGAAGCAUCCUGUUAAGUCAGGCAACGAGCGAGACCCACGCCAACAGUUGCU